ACUACCGCUGCAGCAGCCUUAACGGAACCACGCUCCUCUGUAGCUUCCGCCGGCUUCAACACCGCCAACGAGGUCACGCCGCUCUUUGUUGCUGGCGGAAAAGGAGGACGUGGAAGAGAAACGUGCGUCAGUCCAUAUAUAUUUCAACGAUGGUUGCUGAAACCACACGCAGUGUCCAUGAUACAUUCCACAACACUUUCAUCAUUAUUACAGCGGUUGCUGUUAAGCUGUUCAUCAAGGGAAUCACUCUCUUGCUCGUGACACGUGCGCUGUUGGCACAUGUGACAAGAACUGAUAAUAAGACUUCUGAAGUUCCAAACAAAGUCUCCGGCCAUCAUUUUGGCCGCCCCUGGAGAUUAUGGCAUCAUAGGGCCUUGUUUUAUGGAGGUCCCACCACCAAGUUGUCAGUACGUGGGAACCAUGGGAACUGGUGACAAAUAAGCCGAUUUUGUGUUAUUUGAACAGGUACGACACAUAAUAGUUCCGAGACUUGGGAUGUCAGUACUCAUGAGAUUCAUAUCUACCCGAAGAAACUGAAUGCAAGCGUCGCGCAGCCACAUCCACAACUACCUUCAUCAUCCUCCUAAGUAGUUUCAGGUAACUAGAGGAAAUGGAUGACUGCACCGGAGAGACGCGACCUGUGUCAUCUUGUACUUUGACAUUGAUCUUUGUCAAAGUUCCUCUCUUUGCAAUGAGUAGUACGAUGUAAAAGACCAUUUCACGGAUGGCACGGAUGGCACAUUUUACUGGUGAUCCUCUGUCCGCUGCCGACGGUAAACAAAAGCCCAAAGUAGCUGGUCUUUCUGCUUUGUUAUUUCAGUUAUCUGAGCAGAAGGGCAGCAACACGACGUGUCAUGCAUUCGACAAACGUCUAGUGCUGAAGGGAAUUGACACCGUGAACCCUGCUGGGCUGUCCAUAAAUCCGUAAAAGUACGAGGGGGUGGAUACCUCUUCUGGACAGCACGUUGAAAGAUAACGUCACCGUUUAUAGAUUUCAACGGUUGAAGCUCCCCAUUCGUAAUCUCAAGAUCUUUCAGAAGUUGGGCUCCAUUAGACACUGUAAAUACCUGUAAAAAACAGAAAGAAAAUAAUUGCUUCCAUAGUCGAUUUCUAGGCGCUGGGCAACAGCGCUGGAGCAUCUGAUCCUCCAUCUUCUUCUCUUUCUUCGUCUUCUUUUCCUUUAGCGUUUCCCAUUUCUCCAUGGGGAUGACAUUCUUAUGUGGGUUGAAGCAAUGUUAGUGACAGAGGCCGAAAGCCCUUCCUGACGCGACCUGGAGCAUCUGAUAAUGGUGAAAAAUUAUGGGUACAUACGUCAUUGGUUUACAUAAGAAAUAGUGCCAAUGAUACAAGUGAACACUUCACUGACGUUGCCUAAUUUUGUCAUUGUAUUGAGACUCGAUAUUAAAUGAGCGGUAAGAAGGUAAGAAUCGCGAUGGAAUACCCAGCAACACAAACUACUGCUCAGUCUCUAUAAAAUAUAGGAACCAAGUAAGAGACUAAAAGUACUUGUAAGGCAGUGACAUACAAUCACUGAUUAGGAAGAAGUAUUCCCUACGAUCCCAUUCAGUGACAAGCUCUUAUUUGUCACUACAAUCAGUAGUAGCUAACUACAGUACUAAAACCGACAUCUUACCUUUCAGAUGACACGCUCGCUUUAGUAGACGCCACAUACUACUUAUCUAUUUCACUGAAUAAUCAUCAUCUAUAUUUGCAAUCAAUUAAUUAUAUAUGUGAAGACUUGCUUUUUCUUUCACUGGAGCGCAUAGGACCAGUUACCGCAUACGUUUUAUUGACAGAAAGUGCAGAACACGAGAAUACCUAUGACACCCGAGAAUCAUCUGCAAAUCGAAGUUCUUCUCACCGCACCCUGUACAAAAACUUUUGUGCAGUUAAGUGCAAAACUAUAGGAGCUAAUGUCUGCUGGGACACAGCUCUGAGUGUCAAUGAUUUUGUCUGCAACUGAAUCGUUUAUUAUGUGCGUCAUGUAGCUCUUCGGGUAGAUAUGGAUCUCAUGCGUGUUGUCAUUACAAAUCUCGGAACUAUUAUGUAUCGUACCUGUUCAGUUAACAUAAAAUCGGUGGCCGUAAAAGUUAACACUCAGCACGCAGCCUUCUGGGCAUAUGUGAAGCGCCUGAGAUGGCAGGAUUAUUUUCUAGAAGACAGUCAGAUGUACUCUGAGAGAUUUACAGAAGGCAGCAGUGGUUUUACUAUCGACUUUGAGGUAACUAGAUACCGAGAACAAGCUCCACCGAACAAAGAGGGGACAGGGAAUGGGUGGUAGUAUUUUUAAGGAAUCAAUAUGACGCCCGUAAAUAGUAAUGAUGAGGAGAAUGCCGACUCACAAAAUGAGCAUUACUAUACGGAAUCAGUGUUCAGAGAAUAGAUUUCUAAUAACUCACAGUUACGAGAAAAUUUCCUCCACGGAGGAAAUAUCUCUAACUUUCUUGCUUUAGCAGCGCGGAGAAAAAGUCAGCGAUUUGCUCCAUACAGCAUUUAUAUUUACAAUACUCUAAGUACUAUUAUAUAUCUAACUUUUACCUUUAGUGUCAACGACUUCUGUACGCAUAUAUGUUCGAAAAAUAAAAUUGUAUAUCAGUA